UACGUAGGGUGCAAGCGUUUGUCCGGAAUUAUUGGGCGUAAAGAGCUCGUAGGCGGUUUUGUCGCGUCUGCUGUGAAAACUGGAGGCUCAACCUCCAGCCUGCAGUGGGUACGGGCAGACUAGAGUGCGGUAGGGGAGAUUGGAAUUCCUGGUGUAGCGGUGGAAUGCGCAGAUAUCAGGAGGAACACCGAUGGCGAAGGCAGAUCUCUGGGCCGUAACUGACGCUGAGGAGCGAAAGCGUGGGGAGCGAACAGG
rnacentral:rRNA from 1 species